rnacentral:lncRNA from 1 species
GGACCACAGCCCCUCCAUAGGGUCAGGAUCCCCUCCUCCCGCACGAUCCGCACCAGGGCGUCAAACACGUUGCGAUACCCGCGGCGCUCGGCAGGGGGCAGCCUCCCGUCCGCGGUCAUCCUGAUGAGCGCCACCUCGGCGGGGGUCCCCACGAAGGCCCCGGUCGCCCCCGCGGUCAUCCCGACGGCCGCUUUGGUGAGGAACCCCGGGGGGGUCCCAUCCGCCCCCGACAGCCGCUCCAGCAGCACGGUGUAAAUGCCCAGCCGGGUGGUCGUGUACGUGGCCUGGCGCAGCAAACCGGCAGACAGCC